rnacentral:rRNA from 1 species
GAUGAACGCUGGCGGCGUGCCUAAUACAUGCAAGUCGAACGAAACUUCUUUAUCACCGAGUGCUUGCACUCACCGAUAAAGAGUUGAGUGGUGAACGGGUGAGUAACACGUGGGCAACCUGCCCAAAAGAGGGGGAUAACACUUGGAAACAGGUGCUAAUACCGCAUAACCAUAGUUACCGCAUGGUAACUAUGUAAAAGGUGGCUAUACUACCGCUUUUGGAUGGGCCCGCGGCGCAUUAGCUAGUUGGUAGGGUAAAGGCUUACCAAGGCAAUGAUGCGUAGCCGAAUUGAGAGGUUGAUCGGCCACAUUGGGACUGAGACACGGCCCAAACUCCUACGGGAGGCAGCAGUAGGGAAUCUUCCACAAUGGGCGAAAGCCUGAUGGAGCAACGCCGCGUGGGUGAAGAAGGUCUUCGGAUCGUAAAACCCUGUUGUUAGAGAAGAAAGUGCGUGAGAGUAACUGUUCACGUUUCGACGGUAUCUAACCAGAAAGCCACGGCUAACUACGUG